CAUGUCAGAUGCCUGUUUGCUUUAGGUACCUGCUUCACUGGCCGCUGUCAAAAGACUGUUAAGAAGCUGCUCUAUAGUGCUGAGUCCUGCGGGGCUUGGUCCUGGGACCCUGACUGGAGUGGUAGAAGAAAUGAACAGAUGGAAUGAAGAAAGGACAGACACACAGACAUAUACAGAAAAGUCUCCAUGCUGAGAAAUACUCCAGGGUUCUGAGCACAUGUAUCACAGCUGACUUGGAGUGAAAUGAAGAAAACCAACCCUGGUGGAUUAGCACUGAAGACACUCCUAAUUUCCCCAGCAGCAGAAACGGGAUGACCUAAGUCUGUGUGUAUAAGUUACAGAUUUCACCCACCAUGGAGAGCGAGAGGCCAAAUAUUUGUUGGGUCCAAUUCAAAGGCCAUGAAAGAAUCCUCCAGAUUUGGGCUAUUUCCAUCCCUCUUAGGUAAGUUUAAACACAUCCUCUUGGUUCUAAGGAAAACAGCUUGUAAAAUAUUUGGGAGCUCUUGGGACAUCAAACAGCUCUUGGAGGACUAUACUUUAAUGGUUUACUUGUAAAAGAAUCAGUAAAAGAAGCAGAAACAUGUGGUUUAAAUUUUUUUCUGAAUAUAUGAGCUAUUUUGUAGGCAUCUUUUGCCUUUUUCCUGAGGGUCUCCACACAUGUUUGAAUGCUUAUCCUAAAAACACUGAGAAUACACUUUAUAUGCACUGAUACAGCU